rnacentral:rRNA from 1 species
UACGUAGGGCGCAAGCGUUGUCCGGAUUUAUUGGGCGUAAAGAGCUCGUAGGCGGCUCAUUGCGUCAACCGUGAAAACCAGCAGCUCAACUGUUGGCUUGCGGUUGAUACGGGUGGGCUGGAGUUCGGUAGGGGAGACUGGAAUUCCUGGUGUAGCGGUGAAAUGCGCAGAUAUCAGGAGGAACACCGGUGGCGAAGGCGGGUCUCUGGGCCGAUACUGACGCUGAGGAGCGAAAGCGUGGGGAGCGAACAGG